GAGUUUGAUCAUGGCUCAGGAUGAACGCUGGCGGCGUGCUUAACACAUGCAAGUCGAACGAACCUUCGGGUUAGUGGCGGACGGGUGAGUAACGCGUGGGAAUCUGCCCUCAGGAGGGGGAUAACGGCUGGAAACGGCCGCUAAUACCCCAUAUGCCGAGAGGUGAAAUGAAUUUCGCCUGAGGAUGAGCCCGCGUCUGAUUAGCUAGUUGGUGAGGUAAGAGCUCACCAAGGCAUCGAUCAGUAGCUGGUCUGAGAGGAUGAUCAGCCACACUGGGACUGAGACACGGCCCAGACUCCUACGGGAGGCAGCAGUGGGGAAUUUUCCGCAAUGGGCGAAAGCCUGACGGAGCAACGCCGCGUGAGGGAUGAAGGCCUCUGGGCUGUAAACCUCUUUUCUCAAGGAAGAAGAUCUGACGGUACUUGAGGAAUAAGCCACGGCUAAUUCCGUGCCAGCAGCCGCGGUAAUACGGGAGUGGCAAGCGUUAUCCGGAAUUAUUGGGCGUAAAGCGUCCGCAGGCGGCCCUUCAAGUCUGCUGUUAAAACGUGGAGCUUAACUCCAUCAUGGCAGUGGAAACUGUUGGGCUUGAGUGUGGUAGGGGCAGAGGGAAUUCCCGGUGUAGCGGUGAAAUGCGUAGAUAUCGGGAAGAACACCAGUGGCGAAGGCGCUCUGCUGGGCCAUAACUGACGCUCAUGGACGAAAGCCAGGGGAGCGAAAGGGAUUAGAUACCCCUGUAGUCCUGGCCGUAAACGAUGAACACUAGGUGUCGGGGGAAUCGACCCCCUCGGUGUCGUAGCCAACGCGUUAAGUGUUCCGCCUGGGGAGUACGCACGCAAGUGUGAAACUCAAAGGAAUUGACGGGGGCCCGCACAAGCGGUGGAGUAUGUGGUUUAAUUCGAUGCAACGCGAAGAACCUUACCAGGGUUUGACAUCCUGCGAACCUCUUGGAAACGAGAGGGUGCCUUCGGGAACGCAGUGACAGGUGGUGCAUGGCUGUCGUCAGCUCGUGUCGUGAGAUGUUGGGUUAAGUCCCGCAACGAGCGCAACCCACGUCUUUAGUUGCCAGCAUUUAGUUGGGCACUCUAGAGAGACCGCCGGUGAUAAACCGGAGGAAGGUGUGGAUGACGUCAAGUCAUCAUGCCCCUUACAUCCUGGGCUACACACGUACUACAAUGCUACGGACAAAGAGCAGCAAGUUCGCGAGGACAAGCAAAUCUCAUAAACCGUGGCUCAGUUCAGAUCGUAGGCUGCAACUCGCCUACGUGAAGGAGGAAUCGCUAGUAAUCGCAGGUCAGCAUAAAGGGGUGAAUACGU
rnacentral:rRNA from 1 species